UCCCUGGUAGUAUAUCGGUUAGUACACGCGCCUGUCAUAGAGUGAAUCUUUGUUGGUUUUCGCGCGAAAGCUGGGUUCGAAUCCCAGCCAGAGAG